AACGUCAUCCCCACCUUCCUCACAGUUUACACCGGCAGUUUUGUUAGAGUCCCCAGCUUUACCCGAUGGCAACUAACAAUAGGGGUUGCGCUCGUUAUAGGACUUAACCAAACACUUCACAGCACGAACUGAAGACAACCAUGCAGCACCUUGUAAUACGUCGUAUAGACUAAGCUGUUUCCAGCUUAUUCGUAGUACAUUUAAGCCUUGGUAAGGUUCCUCGCGUAUCAUCGAAUUAAACCACAUGCUCCACCGCUUGUGCGAACCCCCGUCAAUUCCUUUGAGUUUCAAUCUUGCGAUUGUACUUCCCAGGUGGAUCACUUAUCGCUUUCGCUAAGCCACUGAAUAUCGUUUUUCCAAUAGCUAGUGAUCAUCGUUUAGGGCGUGGACUACCAGGGUA
rnacentral:misc_RNA from 1 species